UAAUACGAACUGUGCAAACGUUAUUCGGAAUCACUGGGCUUAAAGGGUGCGUAGGCGGGCUUAAAGGUCUGAUGUGAAAGCCCACGGCUCAACCGUGGAAUUGCGUUAGAAACCAUAAGUCUUGAGGGAGUCAGAGGUAAGCGGAACUGAUGGUGGAGCGGUGAAAUGCGUUGAUAUCAUCAGGAACACCGGUGGCGAAAGCGGCUUACUGGGACUCUUCUGACGCUGAGGCACGAAAGCUAGGGGAGCGAACGGGAUUAGAUACCUCGGUAGUCCUAGCUGUAAACGAUCAGUACUAGUCUGUGGGGACUUCCACAUCCUCUCGGACGUAGCGAAAGUGUUAAGUACUGCGCCUGGGGAGUAUGGUCGCAAGGCUG
rnacentral:rRNA from 1 species